rnacentral:rRNA from 1 species
UACGGGGGGGGCAAGCGUUGUUCGGAAUUACUGGGCGUAAAGGGCUCGUAGGUGGCCAACUAAGUCAGACGUGAAAUCCCUCGGCUUAACCGGGGAACUGCGUCUGAUACUGGAUGGCUUGAGUUUGGGAGAGGGUAGUGGAAUUCCCGGUGUAGUGGUGAAAUGCGUAGAUAUCGGGAGGAACACCAGUGGCGAAGGCGACUACCUGGCCUGUUCUUGACGCUGAGGCGCGAAAGCUAGGGGGGCAAACGGG